AACCAUCCAUCCUUCAAUCGGGUCGGUGACAGCGAGACCCAGGUCUGAAGCCACACGGGCUGCUUGUGUUUUCUCAGCAGUGUAGCAUUUCUUUGCACGUUAGCAAAAGAUUUCUAGUUCAAUGUGUUUUUUUCGGCACAGCUAGACAGACUCGACGAACGACACCGCUCCUCACAGUCGUCAGGGAAAUACACUUAACUAAGCAGUGCCUGUUCAACACAAGUCAGAAGUACCAUGUCUACCGGUGAGUCACAGAUGAAUGAAGCGGAUGCACAGUUUAACUUUCCACAAGAAUGUGAAAGCGGGGUACUCCUUCUCCGUCCAGCUGAUUCCUGUAUAAAGCGAUGGCUACUGCUUUUCCGGAAGGCGACUUCAAAAAAGGACCGUCAGGGGCCGGAUUCGCCUACUCGGCGCCGGCAGCGCCUCUUACUGGCUAUCAUCAUCCUGUCAGGUUUGACCGCCAUGGUGCUGCUCCUUCUGUGGAACUACCAGUGCAUUUUCAUCGAGCGCCUCUGCCAAGGGCAUGAGGAGAGCUCCGUCUUCCCGGUUUUUCCAGGAUGGAUGUCCACGUCCACGCCCACCGCAGGGAGCCUGGGCUGAGAUCGGAGAGGGAAACGGACAGUCCUUCUCACCCUCAACCCCGUCCCCAUCACCUAUGUUGUAGGUGUUGAGGACCGCAGAAUAGCCUGUGUUUGGGAGGAUUUGUUAAUAUGUUCCCUGGUUAUUAAAGUAGGCUACUAUUGAACUAGUAGAGGGGUUACCGGGGAUAUUGUGCAGCCUGUGAAGUGUUGAGUGACUGUCGGUUGCGUUAUUUGCGUCAAAUUCUUGCAGUAGCUCAGCAAUACAGACCGGCUUUUACAACUAUACUCCUAUACAUUUGCCGAAGAACCCAGCUCUUGCUGAGGGCACAUAAGUUGCCAUGACAAUUAGGUCACUACAUACUCUUCAAGCCAGUUCGCUUUUAAUUUAAGUUUAGGAAAGUGGGCACUGCACUGUCCUUAGAUGCAGCUGUAUGUCACCCACAUGUACUGUCCAUCGGUAACUUCCGGAUUAACUGUCUCGUGCUAUCACAACCCCCCUGCGGAUACACUGCACAACCUGCAUUUUCUUUUCUUUUUUCUUUUUUAAAAUUUAUUUUGGUGUGCUCUGUUUCUGUUCUCUUGUAUUUGUUCUAUAACUAUUUAAAAUGUCUUCAUUUUAGGAUUUUUUUUAUCUAUGUAAUUGCUGUACUCUUAUUCUUCUCAUUAAAAAACAACUUUGACACUG